GGGGAAGCGGGCUUGUCUUACGUGGCUGGAGCAGGAGGAGGGGGUAAGGGAAGGUGUCACACACUUUUAAACAGCCAGAUCUCGUGAGAACUCACUCGCUGUCGUGAGAACAGCACCGAGAGGAUGGUGCUAAACCAUUCAUGCAAAACCCAGCCCCAGGAUCCAAUCCCUCCCUCCAGGCCCCACUCCCAAUACUGGGGAUUCCAAUUAAUUCAACAUGAGGUUUGAUGGGGACGCAGAGCUAAACCAUAUCACCAAGGACAAUGGUCUCAAAACAAUUACACAACCCUCAUUUUUUCCUUGAAAAACCUUUACUGUCCUCUGCCUCCCUGCGUAUGCACCUAGUUUCACCGUGGCACACGUAUUCCCCCUGCAAGGCCUGUUCCUGAAUGGACACCUUUUCUUUUAGAGAGCCUCUCUCUGUCUGUUAUUUAGGUUGACAGCCUCAGCACCACUCACAACUCCCCCAUCUCUCUCCCAGAUGUGAAGAUGUUUUUGGGUCUGAGGCCUUCUUCUAGCCUGACCUCCUCCCUCCCGUAUGCUGUAGCCAGGAAAAUAAUUCCAGGAAAAAGCAUCUGAAUAUUCACCAUAUUCACCUUCUCCUUUCCCUGCUGAGUCCCACAAUGAAGCCCAGGUCCACAGAAUAAGUCCUCGCUGCUCACGUGCCUGGCCUGCGUCUCCUCAGCUCUGGAGGCCCUGAUCUAUGAGGAAACAACCUGAGAGGACAUUCACAAUGUACCCAAGCAGGUGCAGCUAGCGGGAGGCGGAGCAAGGAGGCAGCGUCUGCAGCUGCCACGCCAUGGGGCCUUCCCUCUUAGCGGCUGGUGUGCAGCUCGGAGUCUCCCCGGCCUGUGGGUCCUUCCUGUUCGCUUCCCAGGCCUGUCCACUGUCAUCCCUCUGACGUCUGCGCUCUAUCUCCACCUUCAGAUGCCGGACUGGACAUGUCCUGGGAACUCCACUCUUCCUCUUGUUGCAGCAGAAACAUGUCCAAGAGCUUCCUUUUUCUGGCAGACAUUCCUGUGUUUUGGUGUCUGCGAGGAUGGACAGGCUGCAUUCUCACUGCCUGCCACUGCUUCCCUUUCUAGCUCCUGUUCUGUGUGGGCCUCAAUGGAAAAAUGACUCAAUUCUCCCCCUGGGGACUGUGGGUGUCCUGAGGAAUGGUGGAUUUAGAACCUGAGAAUUUGAUUCACAUUCAAGUUCUGUUGCCUGUCAGCUCCAGGCUAGAAGGACUAAUCCAGCCUCUAUGACCCUCAGCAUCUUCAUCGGUGAAGUGAUAGACCAUGAGGAAUAGAUGCAUCCUUAAAAGGAGGUUUUAGCAGUCACUGGAAGUCCCUGGCGCGGAGCAGGUCCUCCACACGUGUCAAAUUUGCAUCUGCACCUCUCCUGCCUGCUGGGCAAAACCAGGCCUGUCUGUUCUUACCCUACUAUCCCUGGAUCCAGUCAAUUUCCUCCAUUUCUUUAAUAUUAUUAUUAUUAUUAAUUUUUAUUUUUUCUGAGAUGGAGUCUUGCUCUAUCGCCCAGGCUGGAGUGCAAUGGUGUGAUCUCAGCUCACUGCAGCUUCUGCCUCCUGGAUUCAAGCCAUUCUCCUGCCUCAGCCUCUUGAGUAGCUGGGAUUACAGGUGUGCACCACCAUAUCUGGCUAAUUUUUGUAUUUUUAGUAGAGACGGGGUUUCGCCAUGUUGGCCAGGCUGGUCUUGAACUCCUGACCUCAAGUGAUCCACAUGCCUCGGCCUCCCAAAGUGCUGGGAUUAUAGGCGUGAGGCACCGACACCCAGCCCUUCCCUUUCUUUAAUAUUAGAACCCAGGACUUUUCUUGAGUGUGGGGAGAGAGAAUUGUUAUAGCACCACCCUGCCAUCUCUGGGUACUUGGUUACUAGCAAGUGGGGACCAGAGGCUCCUCCUCCCCCAGUGAGAGGGACAGGAAAGACGACCUCAGUGCCAGCCUCACAGGACAGCUCCGGUGAUGCCGGGCUGCAGUGACAGUGGCCACCCAGUACGGGGGCUUGCUGCAUAGCAAGGUCACCCUGAUGCUUGGCAAGGCCCUACCACCACUAGCUCCUUAUGGGUGGCAGAGGAACCCAGGGUGGCCCCCUUCUUGGAGCCCCAUGGUGUAUCCACCUAUGCCUGGCCUCAGCUGUCACCGAGGGAUGACAAGAGACAGAGUGGGCACAACUGUGCUGACUACCCUGUGCCUCUGAAUCCUGAGCCUCUCAUGCAUUUGCCCUGCCUCCCUCCUGCCACUGCACUGGGCCCUGAACCUAUUCCCCACCAUUGGCCAUUGCCUACUCAAUGCAUCAGAAAAAGGCCCAGUUGUCAGGUUAGCAGCAAGUACUAAUUCACGUUCAGCCGACCUCCAUGCCAGUACCAGUCACCACCAGCAGAAUGUAAUUAGAUGUGGUGACAAGUCCAUUUCACGAUCCCACUUCCAGUUCAUUUCCCUAAUUGUUUUAUGAGAAAAUAAUUGUUUAUAUAGACUGCAAUAUGUUCCUUUCUUUGUCCUGGUGUGGCUGACACAAACCACACACCAGAUCUUCACACCAGCCUGUGAAACAAGCACACCAUCAAAUUUCCCAUAUGUUUGGGAGACCCUAAUCAUGUAAAUGGUUUGAUUAAAUCUUUAAUGAACUGAGAAUUUAUUCCUCUCACUUCCGAAGCUUUGACAUUCUCAAAUACCUUAGGACCGGAACAAGAUGAUCUCACAACCAUCCCAUCCAAGAACGGAAUCCCGGGAGCCAGGUUCUGGAGAAGGUGAUGGGUUGCUAACGCCUCAGCGUGAUGUGGACAUUUUCCCAAACGCUGGUCCUAGAUCAGCCAAAGGAUGGUGAAUAUCAGUGGUUCACACUCAAGUUCUGUGGCCUGUCUCUGUCUUUCUGGAGAGACUCCAAACGCGAGGCUUCAUCACAGUGUGUAUGGUCUCUGCAUCUGCGAAGCAUUGUUCUUUCCUGGGUGACCUGAAUGGUCGCUCAGCAUGGGAAGUGCAUGCUGCCUUGUGGGCCAGCCACCUGGCUGAGGGCUGCCCAUCCGAGCUCCUGGACAGCUUCAAACGCUUCGUUAUGGGGAGCUUGGGGGAUAUGAUGACACUGGAUUUCCACUCUACAACAUGAGCUUAUUUUUUUUUAAUUUUAUAAGUCUGAGAAUAGCUUGUCCAUUAUAAUUUAUCUUUCCAAACAGAGCAGCAAAGAAUUUUAGGUGGUCUUUUAAAUUAAUUAUGGAAUAUUUCCUCAGCCAUGCAGUAUGAAAAUGUUUCCUGGGUGCGUGCCACACACGUUUCUCACUGUCUUUAGGUUCAUCAGACUGCCCAUUAGUCUUUCCCCUGCUGUCUCCCAGGAAGCCCCACUACAGCCCUUCUAUCCUGACCCCACCCCUGGGAGCUGUCCCUGGACGCUCUCCACCCACCUACUUUCUGCUCCGCCCAUGUGCAGCCACUUUGAGGUCUGUCAUGAAUAUAAAGUGUGUGACAUAUUUUUAUUUCCUGGCUCUCUUGUUCAUACGUAUCUUUAUUUAAUUCCCAGCAUGUGUCAUGUUAUGUGUGUUCUCAGCUUAUGUUUUUACGUUUAGAAGAGUUUCGCCUGUUUUCUGCAGGGAUGAGACACUUCGGGCCAACUUCAAUGUUCUAAUUCCGAGUUUGGAAAUCAACUUUUGGACUGAAAGCUGAGCUUGUCUGAGAUUUGUCAGGGCCCCUGGUGGUUGGAAAAGUGUUCUGAAUCCAAUAAAAGGAAAGCGGUGA
rnacentral:lncRNA from 10 species